GUGCUCACUUCAGCUGCACACAUAAUAAAAUUAGAACAAUACAGAGAAGAUUAGCAUUGCCCCUGGGCAAGGAUCACAUGCAAAUUCAUCAAGCAUUUCAAAAUUAA